UGCGACUCGAGUUCCUCGUCCUCCUCACCCUCCGACGGCGGCGGGGGCCGGAGCCGGGACUCUGAUCGGCCCUCCACGGGAUCCUCCAAAGGCACCGGAGCCACAGAGCGCACCUCGCGUGAGCUGCCGGGAGCCUGCGCCCGGGCGCUUCCGCCGGCCCCAACGCCGCGCAACCAGCCUGGGUCCGCGCUACCCCCGCUGCCGCCAGCCGUGUCCACCGGCUCCCGGCGCCAGAGCGCAGGAAACACGACUUCCCACUCCUCGCGGUCGGGGGCGAACUGCAGCUCUGCGGGCGGGGCAGACAGAAGUGCGGGGCUUAAAGUGCCGCGGUUCCAGUAGCACAAAUAUUUCCAAGCUCACAAUCCAUAGAUACAGGGCGCUCGCGUUGAAUGCAAUGGAGACCACCCGUCUAGCCCCUGAAACUCUUUGCAACCCCAGAAGCUUUGCGAUCAGAUUACAGACCCCAGCAUUUUCAGAGUAAAAGUACGAUUAUAUUGGGGGCGGGGGAAGGGGGAAUCAAAGUUUGGUGACCGUACUUCAUUGUUGAAAAGAAAACCGAUGCAAAGACUCCAGCACGAGUAAACGAUUUCUGAAGUGUAUGCUAGAGCAGAGCGUUGCUAUCAACUUAGGUACGUUCUAAUUUUCCUCCAGGUGCUGUAAACGUACCUUUGCAAAUAUUAUUGCUCUAAUUAGAAGGAAACUAUUCCACAUACGGGUAAAACGAGGCCGGCAGAAGUGUGCUUCAUUUCCGAACUUGACCCCUUAACCCGCACCUCAAGCUCAUUUUUAUUGCUACCUACUGAGCUCUGCUCUCCACGCACCGGUUGCACCAGCCCUGCCGACCCCUACGUUCGCGGUCUCCGCUGGGAUGGCUGGAAAGGAAGCGAGAAAGUCAUGGAAGAACUUACCUGAAACGAUCCCAUUCGACAGAAACCCCAGCUGGUAAAGGAGGCAGCAGCAGCAGAUGAGUUUCCGAGGCCGAGCAGGCUAGUGCUGGAGCCCCACAGGACAGACCCACAGCCAGCCGAGAGCCGGGAGUGCUGCCUCUGGACAGGCGGAGGACUGCCCGGCGCGGGCAGGAGAGCUGUGGUGUCCGAGCCGAGGCUCGCCGCCUGCACCCGCGCGGAACGGGCGGAGGCUGGUGUCACAGUCUCAGCAACUUGGUGUGCCAAGCUCCGCACACUCCUCACGCUCCUUGGGACGCAACGCUGAAAGCUCUCACCCGCAGCAGCACGGAAGGGAAUGAGUAGGGAGAUGGGAAGACACGACUAGAGAGGUGGGUUGUAGAGCAGAAAAGAAUCAAGGACAUCUGAUCAGAAAAAGGGACCAAGGGGUGCCCGCCAAGCGUGACUUUGCGGGACAAAGGUCCCAGAACACUGUGCACGUGCUCAAACGCCGGUUGGGAUGGGGUGGGGACCCAAAAUCCCUCACCUGACUAUUGAUUGGCCACUCGGGAAGGCCUGAUUUGCAUCCAUCCCCUGCCCCCCAUCAGUCAGUUGAGGUGUGUGCAGGUAGAGGUGCCUCCCCCUUCCCAUCCCACUCCUCAAUCCAGCUCCUCUUUUUGUCAAAUUCACACAUCACACAAGGCAAAAAUUAGUGCAGACUUGACCACAAAGCUCAGGCCUCAUUUACCAAAGGCCUUUGAUUUGUCUUCUCAUCUUUGUCGGAAUUUUCUAAGCCCGGAGAUAAUGUAAUUUGUCAUGGAAUGUGCUUUAAAGGUUCCCAGGAGAGUAGGCACCCUUACCUUUCAGAGCCUCUUUUCCUUCCUUAUCUUCAUAGCUCACCAUUCAUCAGUACUAUCAGUUUUUCUCCUUCCCUACCCCACCCCAUCACACACACACACACACACACACACACACACACGGAGUCCUAAAAGGAGUAAGAGUAAGGGAAUCAACAUUAAACAUUAUAUUCUAAAGAUCUCAGACCAGGUAAGAUUAUUUUGCCUUCUGUACUUUUUACUUGUACAUAUAAAAUAUAUUUUUGCUGUUUCUGUCCUCUUUGGGGGCAGUUCAACCCCAAAUAUUUUUUUUCCUUUGUUGCAGUUCUCUUCAUGGUACCUACUCCCCAUUCCACACCUCUCCCUCAGCCACAUCAAAGCGUUCAUAUCAGAUUUAAGGAUGAUUGAUCUGAACUGCCAUUUGCAUCCUCUGGACUAGGCCAGACACCUAGAAAUGAGAAGUAAUGCAAAUCAGUGUUGUUUUUUUUUUAAUUGCAGCACUGAGGUUGGUUCACCACUUCCUUUGUUGUUUUACCUUCUGUUCCUUGUGUCAAAGGUGACUACUAUGCCUUUAAGGGAAGCAGACGAUCUUAUUUCAAAGGAAAGCCAUUGUUUGAAUAAGCUGGGUCCUAUAAUACUUUCUUUGAGUUGUCCAGAGUUUAGAAACAAAGGCAAAAACACUCUAGGUGAGUUUGUCAAGAGUGAUCUGCCUCUAAACCCUGUCUUAUAAAAUCUCUAAUGCUGGAGUAAGUAAGGUGUGGGUUUCCAGAUGCUCAAGAAAUAUCUGGGUUACUUAGAAACCUAAAUGCUUUUUUUUCGUGAGACUCAAUUAUACAGAUUUAAAGCUAGGCAAAAAAAUCAGAGGCAGUUUAUUUUUCGAGUACAGGAAGCUAUUAAGAUUGAAAGCUAAUUUCAAUGAAAUAUUUCCAAUAGAUGAGCCUUAGCACGUUUCUCACACAUAUUUUAACAACAACAACAAAAAGCAGCACUGAAGGAAUAAUGCAUAUUAAGUUAUUAUUAUUAUUAUUAGAGAACAUUCAUGAUUUUUUAAAACUAAAUGAGUUGUAUAACUAAGUUAAGUAUACUCAAAAGCACAGCUUACCAAUGUAAGUUUGCAUUGCUGCCUUUUUUUCCUACUAAUAUAUAAUCCCUACCUAUCCUUCAUGGUAAAGGUUAAUAUUAAUUGUUAUGGAAAGAUUUGUCUAAUUCCCAGCUAACUCUUCUCUUUUUUCCCUUUUGAAAUACUGUUAUAAUGUAUUUACAUAUUUCAGAGACAUUUAUAAGUCACUUGAGCUUUAAUGACUUAUGUACUUAUCUCUCCUACUAGACUAUCAAUGUUUUUGAAAGGUAGGAAUGAUUUCUUUUAUAUAUCACCUGACUAAUUCAAGGAUUUACACUGAAUAGGUUCAGAAAUUAUCAGGAAAUUCUCCAAGAUGCUUUAGAAAGUGAUGGAAAUUGAUUUUUUUUAUGGUAUUUUGUUCCAAUUCUAAUUCCUUGAUCAGGAGUUGCAUCACUGGCUCUGCUGGUGAUUAGCCACUAUCAACAUGAUUUAUCUGGUUUACAGAAUGAGCAAGCCUAAGAAAGAAAUAUGUGGCGAAUUUUUGUGCUCUAGGAGAGACUUAGAUAUGCAAGUAAGAGCAUCAGUUAAAGUGAGUGAAUUUGAGUACCUUUGUAUAUAAAAGAAAGAACUAGCCUAAUUUGGAAUUGAGUAAACUGUGUGUGGUGAAAUAGAGAAGAAAAGGCAGGACUGAGGCAUGUGUGUGCAUUACCAACCUUAGACGAAAGAAAAGAGCAGCUGGGAAAAAUAUGUUGGUAAGACAGAUCACAACAUAUGUCACCAGAUGGUUGCUAACACCAACAGAGCACUGCUUUUGUGUUCUUAGAAUAAAGACAGAAGGAGAAGAGGUAAAUGACAAAGUAUCAGAGUAAGUGGAAUCAACUGUUUUGGUGCUCAUACUGUCAUUUAUAAUCCACGCUCCUCCAUAUAGAAAGUUGGACUUGAUGCUGUCAACUCUCCCUUGUUCUCUUCACUCAUUGGCACUAAGCCUCUCACAACCUAAUCUUACCCUAGGUUAAAAUUAACCUAAGCUAAUCUUAAAUCCACCCGCCCUCCCCCCACCAAAUUCUUAAAGUCUUGAGAAAAUACACAGAACUCUUUCACUGAGUUCCAUGAAGAUACCAACUCCCAGUAGAACUCACAUCUAAACUGACAUCAAAUCUUAAGCUAGUUCUGGCCAUAAUGGAAUUACAGGGACUGUAGUUAACUCUCACCUUAGGCAAUUGGAAAACAUAGUACAGGUUUUUAGAUAUUGGACAACAGGGAGAUUAGGGUUAUGACUUUAGAGAGAAGAGAAGUAAAUGAAUUGGUCACUACAAUUUCCCCAGCUUACUACCUGGAGGCAGUUUCAGGCCUUAACACAGAGAGAAGAAAGCCAAACAGAGCCCUGAAUACAAGCUGAGUUGAGGAGGCAGAGAAGGAGGCUAGAAUUUAUAGGGCAGAGUACCAGAAAGGAGGGAACUACACAGAGAGUGAAUCAGUUAUCUAUUGCUAUGUAACAACCUUAGCAGUUUAAAACAACAAACAUUUAUCAUCUGACAUAGUUUCUGAGAGUCAGGAAUCCAAGACUGGAUAAGCCCAGGUAUUUCUGAUUAAGGCUGUCUCACAAGUUUGCAGUCAAACUCUUGGCCAGAGCUAUAGUUUCAGCAGAAUUAACUGGAAGAAAUGGUUCUGCUUUCAACUCACUUGGUUGACAGGAAGCUCAGCAACUUGCUACACAGGUUUUCCCAUAGGGCUGCUCAUUACAUGCAUUCCCCCAGAACAAGUGAUCUGAGAGAGAGCGCACCCAAAAUAAAAGCCAUGGUCUUCUUAAACCUAAUCUUGCAAGUGACAUGCCACCACUUCUAUCAUAUUCUCAUCAUAAAAAGCAAGUCACUAGGUCCAGCCCACAUUCAAAUGGGGAAAUGUCAAAGAAUUUGUGGACAUAUUUUAAAAACCAUCAUUGUCUGCCCCUUGGCCAUAAAUUACAAGGAAACUUCAAAAAGUAUGUGGAAAAUGGAAGUAAAAGGUAAAAAUAAAAUAAAAUAAAAACUUUAUUUCUCAACGUAAGCUCCAUCAAGUUCAAGACACUUUCGUAAGCCAUGAUACUAGCCUCUUACUCCAUCCCUGAAGAACUGAAAAGUUGUGAGGUAUUUACCCAUGUCAAUGCAGUCUUUUUUACAUUAUUAAUUGAAGAAAAACGAAUGCCUUUUAAAGAUUAAGAUUACGAAAUAAAGUCAGAAGGAGCAAAUCAGGACUUAUAAGGUGAUGUCUAAUGAUUUCCCAUCAAAACUCUCACAAAAUCACCCUUGUUUGAUGAGAGGACUGAGCAGGAGCAUUGUCAUUUGGAGAAGGACUCUGGUGAAGCUUUCCAGGAGAUUUUCUGCUAAAGCUUUAGCUAGCUUUCUCAAAGUACCCUUAUAAUAAGCAGACGUUAUUCUUUGGCCCUCCAGAAAGUCAGCAAGCAAAAUUCCUUAAGCAUCUCAAAAACUGUUGCCAUGACCUUUGCUCUUAACUGGACUGCUUUUGCUUUGAAUGAACCACUAACCUCUCUUGGUAGCCAUUGCUUUGAUUGUGCUUUGUAUUCAGGAUUUUACUGGUGAAACCACAUUCCGUUUCCUUUUACAAUUCAUCAAAUAAAUGCUUCAGUGUUUUGGAACCACUGAUUUAACAUUUCCAUUGAAAGCCCUGCUCUUGUUUGUAGUUGAGUUGGGUGCAAUGGUUUUGGCAGCCAUCAGGUGGAAAGUUUGAUCAAUUAUAAUUUGUUUGGUCAGAAUAAUGUAAAUUGAACUAAUUGAGAUGUCUGUAGUGUUGGCUAUGACAAAGAGAGAAAGGGAGAAUUCUGAAUGUUUUCUGGAAGAACUUUGAAUUAAAUGUCUAUGUUCUGAUUUCUACAUGUGAAGAAACCACCUAAAGCAUAGGGUGAGUGGUGGGAGGGGGAGGCAUAAAGUAUUAAAGGCCAAACAAUACUCCAAACAUGAUGAGUUCCUGCUGGCUAAGGUGGAAGGUCAUCAUAAUAUGAGGGAUAUUAGAUAAUGUUCUUAGAAAAUCAUCUUAGUAAUAAAAUUAAAUUAGCCUUGUAA